AGCACAUCUCGUCAUUUUGCAAGAAUGGAUAUCGAUACAAGUACAUGUACUGAAGAGAUGAGUAUAUGGAAUUGGCUUACACUUGCCACAAGCUACAUCAAGUUCACAUCAAUAGAACAAUAUACAAUCAUCAUGACCAAGAGCAGGGUCCGACUAUGGACCAAAACGAACGACAAAAGAACGACGUCCAUCCUUGCUAUCCCAGGUUACCGGCCUGUAACCCAUCCUAGAUCGAUGAUGAAGAAGAAAAACUUCAAAUAACACAAUCAUCGCGCUCACAUCUUAAUAUCACUUUACCUGUACCUGCAACUGGUGUUGUAGUAAUCUGUGAGCCACAGGUAACUCAACAAUCUCAUUUCCAAAGGUAUCAAGACUAGCAAAGCUUAAUGGGUGAGGUAUGGUUAAGUGGUGAGGCUGCAGCAAGUGACUAAGCAUUUAUUUGAGGUGGAUAACUUAUGAGUACAAAAACAAAAGAGGGGGAUGAUCUACGCAUAGAGGAUGUGAACUACUGAUGAUCAAACGAAUGAUCCUGGACAACUACUUACGUCAAACAUAACCCCAUCAUGUCCUUGAUCGGAGAAGGAGCUCACGAAAGAGACAUUCGCGGUUAUGCACUCAGUUGUCAAGUUUUAAUUAAGUUUACUUGAAGUUAUCUAGAACCGAAUGUUAAACUAAGUUCCCAAGUUGCCACAUCAUCGCGGGAACAGCUUUACAAAAGAUUUAACCCUGCAGGGAUGCUCCAAAUAGGCCAUCACAAACUACCACACACUACGCCGGAAUGACCUUGAUUAGGAAAACCCGUGAUCUCCUCGGGUUCCUAUUAGGAAACCUCAUCCUCGAGAAGUAUCCUCGGAAUCCAUGCACGAGACGCUCGAGAAAGGUAAAAGAAGUCCAGCAAAGCCGCCCGACGUGUUGACGAUCCCGAUAGGAACCACGUAUCUCGUUCUCAGGACACGACGGAUGGCCGAAGCAUACGGUAGCCUGAUAGACAUCUCCCGAGUUGCCCCGGAUUGACCCCGCACGGUGCUCUGUUUUGGACUGGCACCAGCAGCACGGGCCCCUGUAUUAUGUUAAAUUACUCCUUGUGUUCAUGACGCCCUAUGUUGUUUAGUAUUAUUAUGUUGGACAAAUAGAGUACCAAUGUUGGGCCUUGCCAGACGAGUUUUAUCCCAAAACGAAAAUCUAGGGGGUUUCCAUAACAAGCCAAGCAUGUUAGGAGCGCUCAUUUAUGGAACAUAACACCGGUAGCCGAAACUAAGGCGAUAAAGGUGGAACAAAACGUCAGGCUAGAAGGCAAAGCCUUCCAACUUUACCAAGUAUAUAGGUGCAUUGGAUUAAUUGGCAAUAAUCUGGUGAUAUAACAAGAAACUCAUGUUGGUACAUGGAAGCAACUGCACCUGCAACGAGCAACGCUAUGAAAAGGUUGAGCAAGUGGUAACUUAGCCAAACAAGGUUUGCUGGUCAGUGGAGAGAUUAGAGGUUUUCAUGGCAAUGUUGGGAGGCUGGUAUUUAACAGGUGAUAAACAGCGAGACAUAGCAAAAUAAACAAGACAACUAGCAUGACAAUGAUAGUAAUGGUAUCUAGGGAAAUGAUCAUAUUUCUGUGAUCUAGCUUGGAAGAAGAAUGAAUCCGUGAAGCAAACGAACCAACGUAGUCGAACAAAUCCUCACAUUCCGACACGCUUGCCGAACUCUAUCGAGACGAAGCAAACCGGAAACAAGAAUUAACACACGAUAUUCACCACAAAAAAAACACGAUAUGACGAACCAAUUAAUAUGAUGCAUGUCCAUGUCAAUUUUGAAAGGCAUGAUAUGGUAAUUCACAGCAAUCAAAAACUACACAUUAAAUGAAGCUCAAUAUGCAACGAGUUGCAUAUUGACAAAACUCCACAUUUCAAUUAUUUAGUUCGCUCCCGUUUAGGUACACGGCAAUAUUAAAUGUUGUUUAAAAAUGUCAAGGGGUGAAGCAUAUGAUUCUACAUAGCAUUCUAGUCGGUUUACAUCUUAGAACAUUUGACUGGAGCUACGCUCUACCAGAUACGUGCAACACAAUAUACUAUGUCAUGGAUGCAAGACACAUGCAAAUGACAACCACGACACAUUCCAGUUCCGAUAACUCGAUCAGAUACCAAUACAAAUGAAUUGAGAGUGUGAGCGUGCCUAAAAAUGAUGGAUGAUCCCAGUUACCGAGUUCCAUGCGCCGAAGGCAUGAAUAUGGAUAUACAUGCAACUAACAUUUCAUCUAGGAAAUGUCGAACUCGAAACUCAUACAACAAUACAAAAUCUACAGAGCUGAAAUAAAAUAAAAUAUGCAGGGCCCGAAGCAUCAUAGUGCACCGGUCGAGAAGUAGAUUAGGCCCAAGGAACUGAGGGUGUGCAUUUAGACAAAACAUGACAAAGUAAAAUUGUCGAACUCGGCACCUCGAGCUUCAAAGUUGGCUGCUCUAGCCAACUGGGAUACCGAUAUGCUCGUGGUGAAAAGUGGUGGUUAAUCUAAAUAAGCUCAACAACCCGGACGGACCUAGUCAAAAGAAACAGAGAUCAAAUUCGGAUGAGACAACUUACAACUGGGAAUGAAGAGGCCGGCGGCCAUGACUAUGCUAGUAGGCCCGAGGGAGUCGGCCCUCCGGGUCUGGUGGCUGGGGACAAACAUAUAGGCUGCCGGACGGGGCAGUCUAGGAGUCCUGAAUGUGCGGACGCUACGAGCGCGUUCGCUACGCUGGGGCUCCUACUCGAUGCACAGAGCUGCACAGAAUGCUCUGAGAUGCAGGUGAGCGAAUGUUGCGGGCGAUCUGGGGCUUGGGCACGGGAAUGAUGCAGGGGCAAACGGAGGCGACCGAAGUCUACGCGGGAUCGAGGCCCAC
rnacentral:lncRNA from 1 species